rnacentral:lncRNA from 1 species
AAUAGCAAACCUGAAGAGAGUUCCAGUCAAAGGAGAUGUCGCUGAUGCCGAUUGGGGAGAGGCAAGGGCAGUCAGAAGAGAGAAGGAGAUGUCGCCGAUGCCGCCGAUGUUGACAGAGGAGAGGGAAGAGUUGUCUCCGACUAGGAAGUGGGAGAUGUCGCCACUGGAGAGAAAAUAUUUAUCGUCGACUGAGGAGAGAAAGAAGACGUCGCCGGUGCCGACUGGGCUGCCGGCACUAGUCAGUGAAGUGGGGGAGAGAGGCGCCGACAGUGGGACUGUGGGUCGUCAGUGAAGUGGGGAGAGAGGGAAGGGAAGCGGGGGGGAGAGAGGCGCCGACAGAGCAGUAUGGUAAAAUGAAAAAUGGAAUGAGGGAUUAGGUUUAGGGUUAGGUUUGUUAGUAUAGAUAAUCGGGUUCGGG